rnacentral:rRNA from 1 species
GACGAACGCUGGCGGCGUGCUUAACACAUGCAAGUCGAACGAUGAAGCCGGAGCUUGCUCUGGUGAAUUAGUGGCGAACGGGUGAGUAACACGUGAGUAACCUGCCCUUGACUCUGGGAUAACUGCUAGAAAUGGUAGCUAAUACCGGAUACGACCCUCGGAGGCAUCUCCCGGGGGUGGAAAGAAUUUCGGUCAAGGAUGGACUCGCGGCCUAUCAGCUAGUUGGUGAGGUAAUGGCUCACCAAGGCGACGACGGGUAGCCGGCCUGAGAGGGUGACCGGCCACACUGGGACUGAGACACGGCCCAGACUCCUACGGGGGGCAGCAGUGGGGAAUAUUGCACAAUGGGCGCAAGCCUGAUGCAGCAACGCCGCGUGAGGGAUGACGGCCUUCGGGUUGUAAACCUCUUUUAGUAGGGAAGAAGCGAAAGUGACGGUACCUGCAGAAAAAGCACCGGCUAACUACGUGCCAGCAGCCGCCGUAA